UACGUAGGGUGCGAGCGUUGUCCGGAAUUACUGGGCGUAAAGAGCUCGUAGGUGGUUUGUCACGUUGUCCGUGAAAACUCACAGCUUAACUGUGGGCGUGCGGGCGAUACGGGCAGACUGGAGUACUGUAGGGGAGACUGGAAUUCCUGGUGUAGCGGUGGAAUGCGCAGAUAUCAGGAGGAACACCGGUGGCGAAGGCGGGUCUCUGGGCCGAUACUGACGCUGAGGAGCGAAAGCGUGGGGAGCGAACAGG
rnacentral:rRNA from 1 species